UUUUAUUUUAUUCCUGCAAAAUUGCCAUGUGUCUUUCGGUGAGUGCUAUAUUUUCUAUCAACGGUUCUAUAGAGAGAAGUCCCUCAACUAGUUAUAUAUCAAUUUUACAACCAAUGCAUGAAAUACUGUGGAUUCAUUAUUAUUCGUUGGAUAUCAAUUUUCAUGGGUACAGGUGAACCACGAAUUCACAUUUUCAACGAAUUACAAAUUUUCUAUAGGCUUUAUAGACAGAAAUCUUCAGACCACGAAUUCAAAUAUCCACGAAAAUGUAAGUUUUCCCCAAUCCACGAAAAUUGAUACCCACAAAUAAAAAUGAAUCCACAAUACUACAUAAGAUUGUAUAUUUCUGUGUCGUUGAACAACAAGAGAGGUUAGUGUGUGAUUUAAUGAUUUAUUACGAUAAGUCCUUUUGUCAUUUGACAACAGAAGAGAGCAAUCACAACUGACAUUUGUCUUUUUUUUUUGUCUUUUUUUUUUAACCUUUUACCAAUGUAAACCAUUUUGAUAUAAGGAUAGGAAUAACCAUUCUGAAUUUCGAGAUAUGUUUCCAUCUAAUCCCAAUUGACUUAGGGAUCUCUUAAAAUACAGUAAUUUUAUUCCUAACUUACUCAGGCUUUUUUUGCUGAGAUGGAUUUCAGGUAUAUAUAAUGUCAUAUCCUACCAGGUAGUUAUUCUGUCUGAAUCAACCUGUUUCUAUUAGGCUUAGUCAAUUUUAAAACUUAACAAUUCUUUAUAUUUUUGAUGAAAUUUAAACAGUUGAACUCAUGAAUGAUCUGUUCUGAUUAAUUUAUUCUAUGACCAAAAUGUUAUAUAUCCAUUUUACUUGUUUCCUUGUCUCUUGGCAGCAAAAACUUGGGGAGACAGGUACACUAGUACGGCCAUAUAAAAUAUCUUUCCUGUAGAUUUUUUUGUAAAACUAAAACAAAACAGUUUUAUAUUAUAUUAUAGCCAUGAACUGUUAGUUAAAUGAUGUUAUUGAUUUGUUUUAUUGUACCAGCACUAUAAAGGGAAAUGUUCUGUACUAAUUUUU
rnacentral:lncRNA from 1 species